GACGAACGCUGGCGGCGUGCUUAACACAUGCAAGUCGAACGAAGUGGCGAACGGGUGAGUAACGCGUAAUCAAACUGCCCUUCAGAGGGGGACAACAGUCGGAAACGACUGCUAAUACCGCAUACUGAAGAAGGGGGAUGCGUCGGAUUAGCUCGUUGGAGGGGUAACGGCCCCCCAAGGCGAAGAUCAGUAGCCGGUCUGAGAGGAUGAACGGCCACAUUGGGACUGAGACACGGCCCAGACUCCUACGGGAGGCAGCAGUGGGGAAUCUUCCGCAAUGGACGGAAGUCUGACGGAGCAACGCCGCGUGAGUGAUGACGGCCUUCGGGGUGUAAAGCUCUGUUAAUCGGGACGCGUUACCGGAAUAGAAAGCCACGGCUAACUACGUGCCAGCAGCCGCGGUAAUAC
rnacentral:rRNA from 1 species